CACUGUCGCUGCAACAACAACCACAGCAGUUCCAACAAUGAUAGCUAGUCCAAUAACCCCUACACCUGCUCCUUCAGUCAUAGGUGUACAAACAACCAACACAGUUGGUCCAACAACCAGCACAGCUGCUGUACCUGUUUAUAUGCUUAAAGUUAUGUUGGUAAAUGAAACUUUUACAGAUGCGCUGAAUGACCCCAGCACCCCUCAAUACCAAGAUCUUGAAAGACGACUUGUAGCAAGAUGUGAAGCCAUAUACCGAAGAGAAUUUGGUGAUCUCUUUGUGAAAUGCUCUGUGAUAGGUUUCAGAUCUGUUGCAACACGAGCUGACAGAGUUGAAGCACAUCUUGCAAUUACUUUUAACCAAACUACUCCAGCUGCAGACCUCCCACAGAAUAGUGCUGUUGCUCAAACUCUUGUUCAAGCUGCAAAUGAUAACAAUAAUGUUGACGUGAGCUUUAGUCCCAAUGAAAUUUCAG